rnacentral:rRNA from 1 species
AUUGAACGCUGGCGGCAGGCUUAACACAUGCAAGUCGAGCGGAGAUGAGGUGCUUGCACCUUAUCUUAGCGGCGGACGGGUGAGUAAUGCUUAGGAAUCUGCCUAUUAGUGGGGGACAACAUUCCGAAAGGAAUGCUAAUACCGCAUACGUCCUACGGGAGAAAGCAGGGGAUCUUCGGACCUUGCGCUAAUAGAUGAGCCUAAGUCGGAUUAGCUAGUUGGUGGGGUAAAGGCCUACCAAGGCGACGAUCUGUAGCGGGUCUGAGAGGAUGAUCCGCCACACUGGGACUGAGACACGGCCCAGACUCCUACGGGAGGCAGCAGUGGGGAAUAUUGGACAAUGGGGGGAACCCUGAUCCAGCCAUGCCGCGUGUGUGAAGAAGGCCUUAUGGUCGUAAAGCACUUUAAGCGAGGAGGAGGCUACUGAGACUAAUACUUUUGGAUAGUGGACGUUACUCGCAGAAUAAGCACCGGCUAACUCUGUGCCAGCCGCCGCGGUAAUAC